GGGGCCGUAGCUCAAUUUUGGUUAGAGCACCGGACUGUCACUUCGGAGGUUGAGGGUUCAAGCCCCUUCGGUCCCG
rnacentral:tRNA from 1 species